rnacentral:tRNA from 1 species
GGCGAGGUCGCCGAGAUGGCUCAGGCGCAAGCUUGCAAAGCUUGAGACGAUGGUUCGACUCCAUCCCUCGCCU